rnacentral:rRNA from 1 species
CGUAGGGUGCAAGCGUUGUCCGGAAUUAUUGGGCGUAAAGAGCUCGUAGGUGGUCCGUUACGUCUGCUGUGAAAACUCGGGGCUCAACCCCGAGCCUGCAGUGGAUACGGGCGGACUAGAGUGCGGUAGGGGAGACUGGAAUUCCUGGUGUAGCGGUGAAAUGCGCAGAUAUCAGGAGGAACACCGGUGGCGAAGGCGGGUCUCUGGACCGAUACUGACACUGAGGAGCGAAAGCGUGGGGAGCGAACAGGAUUAGAUACCCUGGUAGUCCACGCCGUAAACGUUGGGCGCUAGGUGUGGGGAACUUUCCACGUUCUCCGUGCCGCAGCUAACGCAUUAAGCGCCCCGCCUGGGGAGUACGGCCGCAAGGCUA